CUCGGCGGGCGGCCCCUCCCUGGGGCCGCUGCCUCCCUCGGGGGGUGCCCGCCGGCGUACCAAAACUCUUUUGUAUUUUAGUGGCCUCUCUGAGAAAACAAGCAAAUAAGUUAAAACUUUCAACAACGGAUCUCUUGGUUCUGGCAUCGAUGAAGAACGCAGCGAAAUGCGAUAAGUAAUGUGAAUUGCAGAAUUCAGUGAAUCAUCGAAUCUUUGAACGCACAUUGCGCCCGCCAGUACUCUGGCGGGCAUGCCUGUUCGAGCGUCAUUUCAACCCUCAAGCCCUGCUUGGUGUUGGGGUCCUACGGCUGCCGUAGGCCCUGAAAGCUAGUGGCGGGCUCGCUAUAACUCCGAGCGUAGUAGUAAAAUAUCUCGCUAGGGAGGUGUCGCGGGUUCCGGCCGUGAAAGCCCCGGCGAGUGAAGCGGCAACAGCUCAAAUUUGAAAUCUGGCUUCGGCCCGAGUUGUAAUUUGUAGAGGAUGCUUUUGGUGAGGUGCCUUCUGAGUUCCCUGGAACGGGACGCCAGAGAGGGUGAGAGCCCCGUAUAGUUGGACACCGAGCCUCUGUAAAGCUCCUUCGACGAGUCGAGUAGUUUGGGAAUGCUGCUCAAAAUGGGAGGUAUAUCUCUUCUAAAGCUAAAUACUGGCCAGAGACCGAUAGCGCACAAGUAGAGUGAUCGAAAGAUGAAAAGCACUUUGAAAAGAGGGUUAAAUAGUACGUGAAAUUGUUGAAAGGGAAGCGCUUGUGACCAGACUUGUGCCCGGCUGAUCAUCCAGUGUUCUCACUGGUGCACUCUGCCGGGCUCAGGCCAGCGUCGGUUCUCGCAGGGGGACAAAAGCUUCGGGAACGUAGCUCCUCCGGGAGUGUUAUAGCCCGUUGCUCAAUACCCCUGCGGGGACCGAGGUUCGCGCUCUGCAAGGACGCUGGCAUAAUGGUCAUCAGCGGCCCGUCUUGAAACACGGACCAAGGAGUCGAGGUUUUGCGCGAGUGUUUGGGUGUAAAACCCGCACGCGUAAUGAAAGUGAACGUNNNUGANAGCUUNGNCNCAUCAUCGACCGAUCCUGAUGU
rnacentral:sRNA from 1 species